rnacentral:ncRNA from 1 species
AUACGGGAGAGACCAAUUUGAUUGGCGCCGAAGGAGCAACCACCCCGGAAACUCUCAGGCAAAAGGACCGUGCGU